CUUUUUUUGUUGUUUUUGUUGUUUUGCUAGGU
rnacentral:sRNA from 1 species